AAGCGGCAACAGCUCAAAUUUGAAAUCUGGCUCUCGGGCCCGAGUUGUAAUUUGUAGAGGAUGCUUUUGGUGAGGUGCCUUCCGAGUUCCCUGGAACGGGACGCCAUAGAGGGUGAGAGCCCCGUCUGGUUGGACACCGAUCCUCUGUAAAGCUCCUUCGACGAGUCGAGUAGUUUGGGAAUGCUGCUCUAAAUGGGAGGUAUAUGUCUUCUAAAGCUAAAUACCGGCCAGAGACCGAUAGCGCACAAGUAGAGUGAUCGAAAGAUGAAAAGAACUUUGAAAAGAGAGUUAAAAAGUACGUGAAAUUGUUGAAAGGGAAGCGCUUGUGACCAGACUUGGGCUUGGUUGAUCAUCCGGGGUUCUCCCCGGUGCACUCUUCCGGCUCAGGCCAGCAUCAGUUCGCCCUGGGGGAUAAAGGCUUCGGGAAUGUGGCUCUCUCCGGGGAGUGUUAUAGCCCGCUGCGUAAUACCCUGUGGCGGACUGAGGUUCGCGCAUUCGCAAGGAUGCUGGCGUAAUGGUCAUCAGUGACCCGUCUUGAAACACGGACCAAGGAGUCGUCUUCGUAUGCGAGUGUUCGGGUGUCAAACCCCUACGCGAAAUGAAAGUGAACGCAGGUGAGAGCUUCGGCGCAUCAUCGACCGAUCCUGAUGUUAUCGGAUGGAUUUGAGUAAGAGCAUACGGGGCCGGACCCGAAAGAAGGUGAACUAUGCCUGUGUAGGGUGAAGCCAGAGGAAACUCUGGUGGAGGCUCGCAGCGGUUCUGACGUGCAAAUCGAUCGUCAAACAUGGGCAUGGGGGCGAAAGACUAAUCGAACCUUCUAGUAGCUGGUUUCCGCCGAAGUUUCCCUCAGGAUAGCAGUGUUGAACUCAGUUUUAUGAGGUAAAGCGAAUGAUUAGGGACUCGGGGGCGCUAUUUAGCCUUCAUCCAUUCUCAAACUUUAAAUAUGUAAGAAGCCCUUGUUGCUUAAUUGAACGUGG
rnacentral:rRNA from 1 species